UGCGUUAUAAAUGACAUGCGGUCUUACCAUGCAAGUCGAACGAUGAAGCCCAGCUUGCUGGGUGGAAGAGUGGCGAACGGGUGAGUAACACGUGAGUAACCUGCCCUGAACUCUGGGAUAAGCACUGGAAACGGUGUCUAAUACUGGAUACGACCUAUCACCGCAUGGUGUGUGGGUGGAAAGAUUUAUCGGUUUUGGAUGGACUCGCGGCCUAUCAGCUAGAUGGUGAGGUAAUGGCUCACCAUGGCGACGACGGGUAGCCGGCCUGAGAGGGUGACCGGCCACACUGGGACUGAGACACGGCCCAGACUCCUACGGGAGGCAGCAGUGGGGAAUAUUGCACAAUGGGCGCAAGCCUGAUGCAGCAACGCCGCGUGAGGGAUGACGGCCUUCGGGUUGUAAACCUCUUUUAGUAGGGAAGAAGCGAAAGUGACGGUACCUGCAGAAAAAGCACCGGCUAACUACGUGCCAGCAGCCGCGGUAAUACGUAGGGUGCAAGCGUUGUCCGGAAUUAUUGGGCGUAAAGAGCUCGUAGGCGGCUUGUCGCGUCUGCUGUGAAAUCCCGGGGCUCAACCCCGGGCCUGCAGUGGGUACGGGCAAGCUAGAGUGCGGUAGGGGAGAUUGGAAUUCCUGGUGUAGCGGUGGAAUGCGCAGAUAUCAGGAGGAACACCGAUGGCGAAGGCAGAUCUCUGGGCCGCUACUGACGCUGAGGAGCGAAAGCAUGGGGAGCGAACAGGAUUAGAUACCCUGGUAGUCCAUGCCGUAAACGUUGGGAACUAGAUGUAGGGCCUGUUCCACGGGGUUCUGUGUCGUAGCUAACGCAUUUAAGUUCCCCCGCCUGGGGAGUACGGCCCGCAAGGGCUAAAACUCAAAGGAAUUUGGACGGGGGCCCGCACAAGCGGCCGUAUCAUGCGGAUUUAAUUUCGAUUGCAACUGCGAAAGAACCUUUACCCAAGGGCCUUGGACAUUAGGCU
rnacentral:rRNA from 1 species